rnacentral:rRNA from 1 species
UACGUAGGGACCGAGCGUUGUCCGGAUUCAUUGGGCGUAAAGAGCUCGUAGGCGGCUGUUCAAGUCGAACGUGAAAACUCGGAGCUCAACUCCGAGCCUGCGUUCGAUACUGGACGGCUAGAGUCUGGUAGGGGGAUCUGGAAUUCCUGGUGUAGCGGUGGAAUGCGCAGAUAUCAGGAGGAACACCGGUGGCGAAGGCGGCUCACUGGUCCGGUACUGACGCUGAGGUGCGAAAGCGUGGGGAGCAAACAGG